UGACCUCAGAUCAGGCAAGGCUACCCGCUGAAUUUAAGCAUAUUAAUAAGCGGAGGAAAAGAAACUAACAAGGAUUCCCCUAGUAAUGGCGAAUGAAGCGGGAACAGCUCAAAUUUAAAAUCUCCGUUGCUUGCAACGGCGAAUUGUAGUUUCGAGAAGCACUUUCUCGGCGGAUCCGAGGUCGUCCAAGUUGCUUGGAACAGCACGUCGUAGAGGGUGACAACCCCNGUCUGCGGCGAUCUCGGCCGUUCACGAUGUGCUUUCGACGAGUCGGGUUGUUUGGGAAUGCAGCCCAAAAUGGGUGGUAAACUCCAUCUAAAGCUAAAUAUUGGCACGAGACCGAUAGCGAACAAGUACCGUGAGGGAAAGAUGAAAAGCACUUUGAAAAGAGAGUUAAAAAGUACGUGAAACCGUUAAAAGGGAAACGAAUGGGGUUAGCAAUGCGUCGUGCGAGAUUCAGCCGGUGGGUGGGCCAGGCGGGCGGUUGGCGGAUCUGAAUGGACCGCUGCCGUCCGGGUUGGUUUCCCGACCGUCGCACUUCUCGCAGGCGCGCGCCAACGUCGGUUAGGGCUGGGUCUCAAAGGCGGUGGAAAGGUAGGUUUGGACUCUCGGGCCCGAACUGUUACAGUCCUCCGUUCGUCAUGGCCCGGACCUGACCGAGGAGCUUGCGGUGCAUGCCGUUCGGCUAGGAUCCCGUCUUCCCGGUCGGUCGUCGAAUGCGGUGGACUGCGUGCAGUGCGCCGCGACUGCUGCCGGUCGCGAGGGCGGUGAUUUCGUACUAUGCACCCACGACGUUGGCGGUCAUAUGGCCUCAUCCGACCCGUCUUGAAACACGGACCAAGGAGUCUAACAUGUGUGCGAGUCUUUGAGUGACCGAAACUCCGAGGCGUAAUGAAAGUGAAGGCGACUCCGGUC
rnacentral:ncRNA from 1 species